rnacentral:lncRNA from 1 species
AGGCAGAAAAUUUGCAAGAGGCAAAAAUAAAGAAAACACAGUAAAGUAACAUCACUUGGUUGAGCACACUAUUCCUCCAGCAUUGGGUCAGAGUUCCUAAAAAGAAAUGGUGUGAACCUGCAAAGUGGCGUGAUUUUUCGGCUUUGCUUUGUUGAUAAUCUGGACCCUAGAGUCCAACAGGUUGUGCCAAGCUGGGCAUGCAAAAAUAUAACAGUGACUUGAUGAAAAAGGCACAUGUAAGAGGGGCAAAAAGGAUAGGCAAAUACAGAAAUGAACAGAAACUCGAUCAGGAAACAAGGAACACGAGACCAGUUUAACACCAGAUAGGAAGUAGCAUUUUAAAGUCACAUGCAUUCCCAGCAAUAAACAAGAGACAUGAUUCACAUUCUAACUCAUGUUCUAAAAUUACCAGAGUCAGAUGUUUAUGAACCUAUGGGAGUGGGACUAAAAUUAUAAAUAUAACUUGCCAUCAAACCAGAUAUUUUGACAUAUUUUUCAGACAGUGUUGUGUCAAACACUUCAGUGCAUUGCAGUUUUAUAAUGUAAAUAUAAUCAACUAAUAAUAUAGAAAAUGAUUCAGUGGGAUAUUGAUUCAUAUCAUCUGAUAUAGCAAAACUUGUCUCACCUAGAUCUUGUAUCUUUCAUUCUUUUGCAAUUGUAUUGAUGUGGACAUCGUUGUUGUAUCAUGCCAAGCUUGGAAAUACAUAAUAUGAAGGUUAAUAAACCUCAACUUUGAACAUUAGUCUCAC